rnacentral:misc_RNA from 1 species
ACUGCAUUCUGGUUGUUAAUAAUGACCAUAUCUGUUGGGUCUGCGGUCGUUAGUGCCGAGAUGGUUAGGGUUGCAGAAUUGGAAGAAAGAUUAAAGAUGCUGUAGGAGAAUGUAGAUGGGAAAAUUAAUAUGCUAAAUGAAAAAGUGGAAGGGAAAUUCAAUAUAUUGGAAGGGAAGUUGGAUAGAGCCUCUGCAGAUAAUGAUGCAUUGAGG